rnacentral:piRNA from 1 species
UGGAUUUGAAGGCCUGCUGCACCUCUAA